rnacentral:rRNA from 1 species
AUUGAACGCUGGCGGCAUGCCUUACACAUGCAAGUCGAACGGUAACAGGUUAAGCUGACGAGUGGCGAACGGGUGAGUAAUGUAUCGGAACGUGCCCAGUCGUGGGGGAUAACUGCUCGAAAGAGCAGCUAAUACCGCAUACGACCUGAGGGUGAAAGCGGGGGUUCCCAGACCCCGGCCGGUUUGGACCGCCGAUAUCAGAUUAGGUAGUUGGUGAGGUAAAGGCUCCCCAAGCCGACGAUCUGUAGCUGGUCUGAGAGGACGACCAGCCACACUGGGACUGAGACACGGCCCAGACUCCUACGGGAGGCAGCAGUGGGGAAUUUUGGACAAUGGGCGCAAGCCUGAUCCAGCCAUGCCGCGUGCGGGAAGAAGGCCUUCGGGUUGUAAACCGCUUUUGUCAGGGAAGAAAAGGUUCUGGCUAAUACCUGGGACUCAUGACGGUACCUGAAGAAUAAGCACCGGCUAACUACGUG